rnacentral:rRNA from 1 species
UACGGAGGGUGCAAGCGUUAUCCGGAUUCACUGGGUUUAAAGGGUGUGUAGGCGGGUACUUAAGUCAGUGGUGAAAUCUCCAGGCUCAACCUGGAAACUGCCACUGAUACUAUUUAUCUUGAAUAUCGUUGAGGUAGGCGGAAUAUGUCAUGUAGUGGUGAAAUGCUUAGAGAUGACAUAGAACACCAAUUGCGAAGGCAGCUUACUAAACGAAGAUUGACGCUGAGGCACGAAAGCGUGGGGAUCAAACAGG